rnacentral:pre_miRNA from 1 species
UCAGGGAGGGGGGGGUCCCUCAGCCCAGAAUGUGAGAGGGCACAGGGCAGGCUGAGGGACCCCACCAGUGCACG